rnacentral:rRNA from 1 species
ACGACCAUAGGUAGUGGAAAAUACGGGAUCCCGUCUGCUCUCCCAUAGUCAAGCCACUAACCGGCGGAUUAGUAGUUGGGUCGGUGACGACCAGCGCGACCAGCGAAUCCCCGCUGUUGUCCCC